AAGGAUGGCAUAAAUAUCCAAAAGACACCUGUUCCCAUCUGAUCUUGGAAGCUAAGCAGAAUCAUCUAUGGCUAGUAUUUGAAUGAGAGACUGCCUAGGAACAGCAGAUGCUGUGGCUA
rnacentral:rRNA from 1 species